rnacentral:sRNA from 1 species
UCGACUCGGUAUCGAUGGCGACAUCAGGAAACUGGUGUACGGAGGCAGACUGACUAACGUCAGCACGGCGCAAGCCGCAAACAGGUCAGAGACUUGGGGAAGCCUCGCAAGAACUCAACAUUUCGCCGCCCCGAUGCACAGAUACCAGUUG